GACAGAUACAGUACACAGCCAUGACACACAUUUUAACACAGGACCCUUGUCUGGCUUAAUUUUGAUUUUGGAUAAAGGAUGAGUGUGAAAAACAAUCCAGCAUGAGUGAGCUCUCUUAUUGGAAAGACAAAUUUUUUUGCCAGAUAAAGGAGCAGUGUUCCAGGUCUGAACCAUCCAGAGCACAUACUAGUACUACAGUGGAAUUUGAAGAGAAAUGGUGGAUGAAUGACAAAAAAUGGGUUAAAUUCCUGGUGUUUAGUUUGGUGUGUGUUUAUUAGUGCAUCUUUUUAUAUUCAAUAAGGAUAAAAGUAAUGCAGUUACAACCAGCAAUGGACAGAUGUCCCAGUUCAAGUCCCGGUUCCACCAUUGCUGGAACCUUGAGCAAGGCCCUUAACCCUCAACUGCUCAGUUGUAUGAAUGAGAUAAAUCUAAUUCAAUUUGAAUCAUGGUUUCUUCUACAAUCAUUCAUAUGGCAAAUUAAACAAACAAUUUUUUAGUCAUAUUCUUUCUUAAAGAGCGUGAUUGUGCUUUUAAAUUAUUCCUACAUGUUAGUUAAUGUAUUCAAUCAGCGUAUUAAUUAAUGUAUAAAACAUGCACUAACAUGUAGUUAAGGUGGUUGUUAUUCACGCAAGACUUCAUAUUACUCUUAUCAUAGUUAACGUUAAUUCUACAUUAAUUCAUGUUUAAUGUUUAGUACAUGACUA